AUGCUGGAGCCCAGGAGCCAGACGCCACCGUCAACGACGACUCCUACUACACCGGAGGUGCCUACUACUACGUGCAAGCCGCUGACGACGACCAGGAGUAGUUUAGGAGGAUCCCAGGCAGGAGGCCUGCGCCUCUUUCGAUAUGUAUCCCAGUUUGUGCUAGCCUUCUUAAGGCAAACUUGUUUAACUUAUGUCUGUACUCAGAUAUUGUUGCUUCCCCUGGCUCUUCUAUGA
rnacentral:rRNA from 1 species